rnacentral:rRNA from 1 species
CGCGUAGGCGGUUUCAUAUGUCUGAUGUGAAAUCCCCCGGCUUAACUGGGGAAGUGCAUCAGAAACUAUGGAGCUGGAGUGCAGAAGAGGAUAGCGGAAUUCCCGGAGUAGAGGUGAAAUUCGUAGAUACCGGGAGGAACACCUGAGGCGAAGGCGGCUAUCUGGUCUGUAACUGACGCUGAAGCGCGAAAGCACGGGAGCAAACA